GAAACACGGCUUUGUCGGAAGUGUAUGAGGAAAGGCAAACAGGAUCCAGAAGCAGCCUGGUCUAUAGAAAGAGGAGAGUGUCUUUAAAUCUGACAAAAAGGASAAGAAGAGGAAAAAGAAGAGCGAUGUCCAGGACCACAUGUGUAGUCUCAAACCAACGAAUACUAUUGUCACUCGUUUCGAAAAAGUUGCCUGUGCA